GUCAAACAGUGUCCUUUCUCUUCUCCAUUUAGUUCACACGCAUUCUCUUCUCUCGCUCCUGGCAACAAUCUUCAUAGGUUCUCGUGUACUGGCAUUUCAGAGAUUCUGCCAUUUUCAUAGUUUUUGGUACUGAUCAACUUGAUCUCAAAUUACUGGGAUCAGAAAGGUCAAUCCAAGCUCUUGGAGGUUAGCUUUCUGAAUAUGGUAAAUAUCGCAUCA
rnacentral:sRNA from 1 species